rnacentral:lncRNA from 1 species
UUUAUUCAUUUUCUAAUUAAAAAUUCAUUUUCUCAAAAUUAAUCAAAAAAUUCAUUUUUAUAAACACGUUUAUUUUUCAUUUAAAGAAUGGGGCGCGACAGUAACCGCCUGAUUCAAUAGUCUUAAAAUCUCUGAUCGGUCCUAGGUAAGACGUUAUUUGAUGAAUUUUACUAGACAAGAGGAGCGUAGGCCACCUCCGAACCUCAAUUGGAGCUACCAACAAUUGUUUAAUUCAUCAAAAAUUGUCCAUCUGAAGUAUAAAUUUUGGGUCAAAUACCUUACCUACAGCCCUCACUUCUCCAAUUUUAAUGAAAAUUUAAACAUGAAAAUUUCAUAAAUGGUUAGAUACCCAGUGGAAAAAAGGUUGACAUAAUUCUAAAAUGAAAUUCCCUAAAUAGCAUUCCCUCUAAGGUUAAUGUAUGAUACUAGUUUAUUAAAUCAAGUAAAUAUGUAACAACAAGAGUUAAAUAUGACCUAAAUGAGCCUUCUUGAUAUGUCGGGGUAGGUCUAAAAUGAGAUGCAAUUAUUAAGACAUUGAUGUGGUAAAAUAUAAUUUAAACAUGUAAUAACCUAUCUACUAAGGUAGGCUCUUAAAAGAGUGCCAUAUCAGCACUUUUAUUUUAGGGCUCAUGAAUGCAAGAAAAGAAGAAAAAAGAGAAGGGUUAGUUCACUUGAUAAAUAAUACAUAACACAUUAGAACAAAAAUGAAAAGAUAAAGAAAAGAGAGGGGUAGAAUCCUUCUCCUCGUAUCUAGUGUCUCUAAUAAGGUAAGGUAAACUCUGUCCUAGGUAAUUUUCUAAUAUGAAUGCAUGAGAUUUGUUCACAAAUGCAAAGAGACUCAAUAAAAUUUCAGGUUCCCAAAAACUUCAGACCAAAAUGCAAAGGGUCAUCAAUCCCAAGACCCUUAGUCGGUACCUCGAGUGAACAUGAAUUACAAGUUUCUAAUGAACAUGAAUUACAAGCUUCUAGACAAAAUUUACAAACUUCUAAUAAACAUGAAUUACACUUAUAUCUUAAGGCUAAAAUUGGAUAUUUAUUACAGCACAUACACGAGUGAUCAUCUGAACCACAUCUGUGUUGCCAAUUAUGUUCACAAAUAGUUUCUACUAAGUUUCUUAGAAUAUUAUCUAUAUUUUCUAAAUGUUUCAUUUGAUCAUAAUAAUCUUCCUUAAAUUUUCUAUUUGAUUCUAAUAAUUCUUUUAUUAAUUCAUUUAUACUAUCACUGCUUAAUUCUUGUUCAAAAUGAUCUUCUACUAAAAC